UACGGGGGGGGGCAAGCGUUGUUCGGAAUUACUGGGCGUAAAGGGCGCGUAGGCGGCCUGCUAAGUCGAACGUGAAAUCCCCGAGCUCAACUCGGGAACUGCGUCCGAUACUGGCAGGCUUGAAUCCGGGAGAGGGAUGCGGAAUUCCAGGUGUAGCGGUGAAAUGCGUAGAUAUCUGGAGGAACACCGGUGGCGAAGGCGGCAUCCUGGACCGGCAUUGACGCUGAACAGCGAAAGCUAGGGGAGCAAACGGG
rnacentral:rRNA from 1 species